AUGUUGUAUAAGAGGAGAGAAGGUUAACAUACCCCUGACAAGGAUGGAAAAGGCUAUAAGGCCUUACCUCAUACAUAGAGGCAUUUCUACUUAAUCUGGUGGCAUCUAGCCACUGUUUUGG
rnacentral:ncRNA from 1 species